rnacentral:lncRNA from 1 species
CCGCAUAUUAGAAAGCUUUCCUUACUGCCUAUCCUAAUUCUCUCUUGCUGCAAUUUAAGUCCAAUAGGACUACUCUCUGCAGUAGCUUUUUACACUCCUGAAGAUCAUUAUUAUGUCUCCCUGCAGUCUUAUCAUUUGUAGAUGAGCAGCCUCAGUCCUUACAAGGUUUCUUAGGCUCCAGUCUCCCCUAGUGCUUUCCUCUGCACUAUCUCUGUUGGAUUCCCAUCAUUCCUGGAUCACAAUGCUUCAGACUGAACACAGUGCUCCACCUGAAUGAAGCCUCCCUAUUGACACUACUUCAGGAUGAUAUUUGCUUUACUUGUAACCUUGUGGUAUUGCUGACGCAUGUUCAGUCUGUGAUCCAGUUUGACCUCUAAACCUUUUUAUGGAACUGCUGCCUAGUCAGUCCUUCUCCAUCUUAUAUUUAUUCAGUCGAUUAUUCCCAAGUGCUGUACUUUGGAUUUGUCUUUAGUGAAUUGCAUUUUAUUUAAUGUCCACAUGCAUCUUAUUUCGGUAGUGCACCCUGUUUCUCCAGUUUAUCCUUUUGAAUUCAAACCUCUCUGUAGGGCUUUCAGAUUUUCCUAGGAUUGCAUCAUUUGCAAACUUAAUAAGAGUGCUAUUGAUUCCAUUAUGCAAAUCAUUAAUGAAAAUACUGAAAAGUGCCAGAUCCAGGAUAAAUAUUGUAUAAUGCAAUGGAUAUGGAAUGUCCUGAUCACCAGCUCCUAAUUACAGAAACCUAUAGGACAGACAGAGAAGGGACAGAGAAUUAUUCCAGUGAGAUGCCAAGAUGUGACAGAUGUGGACUGAAGCUUUGUCAAAUCCUCCAGGCCUGGGGACUAUUGAACACCUACCACAAGACUUCUGAUGAGGGUCAUUAUGAGGUCCAAAGCUGAAAACACCUGAAGCAUCUGUGGCCUCUUCCACAUGGCCAGGGGAGUUGUACCUGCUACAGCCCCUCUUCCUUUCUGUAUUAGGAGCUUGCACCAGAAUUCUUCCCACCUCCUGGUAGCUAGUCCCAGGCCGCAGGAGGACAUUUCUCAGGAUGCGGGUCUGUGUCGCAAAGGCAAUGUUGAUGCAAGGAGUUCUCAUGCCUCCCACAUACCUCAUUUUCUGCUCGUCUCUCAGUCCCACCCCGACACUGCAGCAUGCAGCCUUGCGAGGCGUUUGUAG